UGUUUUAGUCUAGUUAGAGGAACCUGUUUUAUAAACGAUAUAACACGCAUUAUUUUACUUGUUUUGGUGGAUCAGUUUGUAUACCGUCAUUAUAAGAUAAUUUAUGAGAAAAUAUUAUUGAAAUCAUAUUAUUGAGUAUAUUAGAUCAAGGUGCAGCUUAUAGACAAGUAAACAUGGGUUACAAUAAAAUUUAUUUAUAUGGAUUAAGUGUUUAAAUAUAUUUAUGAAGGAGGAUUUAAUUGUAAGGAGAGGAGUAGUGAGAUUUUCUGAUAAAAGCUCUAAAUUAU
rnacentral:rRNA from 1 species